UUCGGUUACAAGAGUGAGAACACGGCUGGACCCAGGAGAAGCUUAAGUUACUGUCUGUAGUGAAGUUUUCGUGAAUGGCAUUUUGCUCUGGAAAUCAGCACCCUGAAAUGCCAAAAUUUUAAGGCUUUGGAAUUGCUUCCACUUAGAAUAUCGUAAGAGCUUGUCGUGAUUUCGACGGCUCAGUGUCAGUGGCUGUUCGCGAGCCUGCAUGGUUGCAGUGAGCGUGGAGCCUAUGCCAGGAAGAGUGAGGAACAAGGUAUAGGAGACAUUCUGGACAGGGGUCAGCAACAGCAACAUUUUCUAGCCAUGGACCCUUUUUCACAGGAAGUGAGGCUCCACAACGCGACCGACUGCUAGUACAGCCGGCGGUGGCACGGAAGGCUGCUGUCACGUAGCACGACCCUCGCACGGGAAUCACCAUCGCGGGAAGUGAGCUCCACAGAGUGACCGACUCAUCACACCGGAGCCGGCGGAUGAGUCACAGAGGGCCGCAGUCCAAAAGCCAAGAGCGCGCGACGGGAUGAAGCCGAAUGAAGCUGAAACUGAAGCUGAAACUGCCACACAGCAGCAGCCCCACGCUUGGCGCCGCUCCGCGUUAACCAGCACUAAUAACGGCUGCCUGGCUUGAGCCGUUACCCCUUUCAGGGAGACAAACCCAGGCCUACUGAGCCCUGACUGCUCACUUUCUAGCAAGAGUGCAUAAGAACUGAAGCGCGUGCGCCUGGUGCCCCCCAGUACUGCAGAUGCCUUUGGUAAGAUCACUGGUCCCUUACCUCCCUGCUGAAACAGUGGUACCAAACCCUCCAGGCAGUGUUUUUAAAUACACUCCGAAAGAUCCGCCAGGUUUCAUUCCCUCUCAGCACCAUGAAGACACGAGGCAAAAAAUAAAAUGAAACCAUACAGGAAAAGCAAAUUUAACACCAGUUCGCUUACCUCCCUAUUCCAGAGAACCUUCCCUACUGAAAUCAAUUAAUUCCAUCCCAGCAAUCUGUCCUGCAUGCCCCCGGUUUGGAGGCUGCUCAGCACACGCUAGUCAGCACAUUAUCAGCCCCUGCACCCUGACCCCCACGUUUGGCGCCGUCCAGCACACUGGAUUCAUACUCGUUAGUGUGUCACGUUCCAUGUGAAUUUGUGCCAGUGCAGAGGAAUGCGGUGCUUCUUCAUUUAAAAGCAUCUAUUUUAAGCAUUUUUACAACUGUAUUUGUCAGUAUGUUGCAACUGUUUAUCAGGCGAUGCCUCCUUAACACAAUAUUAAGGUAAUCCUGAAGGUAAUCCUGAUACAUGUUCCAUUGGUUUAAUGUUUUUACAUGAAUUUCCCUAUUUUUAAGGGCCUAUCCAGUAAGGGUCAAUAUUGUAUCCCAGGUAACAAAGGCCUGUUUUUUUAUUUUAUCAUCUUUAAAGGAAACAAUACUCUUAUGUUCAUUUGGUCAUCCCCCAAACUGUACCCCAAAUAUCGUCAUCUCACCCUUAUUUAUAAUCAUGUUUAUUUAUUAAUUGCACAUCUUCUUAUUCUCUAUCUCUUUGUAUUUUUAUUCUAUGUAUUGCUUUGUGUAUCUGUCUAUUUGUAUCUUUUUCGUCUUGACAGUAUGUUUAAACGUAUACCCAUGCCACCACCGAAACAAACUCCUUUUACUUCUUUGUACAUGGCAAACAAAAGGAUUCUGAUUCUGAAUACAGUGUUAGAAUCGACGUGUGCACCACAUAAGUAUGGAGACUAAUAGGAACCAAUAGAGAGCUGUGACAUAGGGUGGCAAAGGACGUCACCAGAGCCAUUAACGAACACGUACUGGAGGAAGCAGGGGACUGGAAGGAGAGGGGAAAGUGGGCAGCAACUGGAGUUUGUCUCCGCAGCAAAUCACGUGUAGUUUUUUUAACGGCCAGCUUUGUUUAGAGCUACGUUCAAGUGAAGCAGACAGUACAUCACACACGCAUACAGCUGUCAAGGAGCCAACUGUGCAUGAAUGCAGCAUUCAGUGUGUGACCAGUAAGAAGUGCAAGGUAGCACUGGAACAAGAAUUGUACAAUAUGUUACGAAGAACAUUGCGAGAAGCAAAUAAGAGAGCUGAUCGAAUCAAACACAAAGACGAGAGCAAGAAGAAAUCAGCUGCGGGGUAACAGAUGAAGACAGAGCAGGUUCAGCACCUGGGUGAACUAGUCACGGUGUUCCAGGG